rnacentral:lncRNA from 1 species
GAAGACAAAGACAAGAGGAGAGAGAAGUGAGAGAAGUGAGAGAAGGCCAGUGAAAUGUGUGAUUUGUCUGAGGACUUCUCUUAAUCUGGCACCAGAAGAUGCUUGCAGAGAAAUAUUUGAGAUCUACUUGACAUGUGAACUGGAUCAUACUUCUGUGUAACCUGGUAAAGAAUACAGAGUAAGAGAAAUGUUAUUCCAAAGAGGAGGAGAGUAAGUGUAUCAGAAAAGUACGUCCUGGGAAGCCUGAAAAGUACAAAAAAGGGUGUGGCGUGGCCUCUGGGUUGUCCAGCCUCUGGUUCCUAGAAAUCUAGGUAGUGUCAGUCAUGGACUCCAUCUCAUAACAUGGACCUCAAAUUUGACCAGUGAUUGGUUGUCCACUAUCACAAGUUCUGCUCCAUCAUUAUGCCAGCACAUCUUAGAGGUAGGACAAAUUGUGGGUUGAUAGGUUUUGGGGAUUAUUUUAUGUCUCAAUCCUGGGGGUCUUGGAUGGUUACAGAAGCUGUCCAGUUUAGGCUCCUUAUUCUCUGUAGCCUCCCUCAGCCCUGAAGCAGGCUGAUCCAGACUUUGACCCUGCUGUCACUGAGAAGGAGCUUACCUAGGGUUGGAGCCUUCCGACCUAGAUGGCUCUUUUGUUCUGUCACCUGCCACUGCUCUCUCCAAAACACUGCUACCUGCUGAAAAGCCCUUGAGACAUUCCAGAGGAACAUCCUAUUCUGCACAUCGCCUACAGGCUGGUUCCAGACACCAAGAAUGGACUGGCGGGGGAUGGGCCUUCCUUUUAUAAGUAGACUCUCUUAGUAAACUGGCAGGCCUUGAACAGAAUCAUGUCUUGGUCUCCAUUAAUCUCUCGAUGGCUAAAUCUAUUUCAGCCACAGCCUGCCUCCCUGGUGUACCUGGUUCAAGUCGGUCACAGGCCAGCAUACAACAAUUCUCAUAUUCCUAAGAGUUUUCACUAGGGUCACCCUAGUAAAUUCCAGAGGGUUUCUAUUGCAUUAGGUUUCCACAUUGUCCCCAAAUUGCUUCUCCAAUCUAGUCAUCUAUCAAGUAUUCUCUCACUCCAUGCACACUUGACCCCCUUCUGUGCCUAUCUCUACCUGUUCCUGUCUGCCUGAAAAAUCUAUUCUAUUUCC